UUAAGAUUGGAAAGCAAAAUGAAGUACUUAAGGAUUGUACUUUAAACAGAGGGAGAAAAAGCAGAGUAGUAAAUCCUAAGGAGUGGAAUUUUGUUUUGUUGGAUCUUUUGCUUUGCUUUUGCUUCGACAAUUACAACACAAAUUACUAUGAUUUCUUUUCUUUCUUCCCCAUCCCAUUAUCAUUCAUCCGACAAUUUCUUUUCCCAAUUUGUCUUCUUCCACUUCGUUCAAUGCCCAAAACCCUAAAAAUCGACCUCUCAAACCCCAUUUUGUGGCUCCAAAUCCGCCCCUUUCUUUGUCAUUCUUUUCUUACCUGUAUUUGUGGAUCCAAAUCAUGUGCAUUCUCUUGUUCUUUCUCUUUAAUGGGACCCCUUUUACCAUUUCCGAUCAUUAUCGAGUAAUUUCUUUCUUACUCCUACCUCCAGCGACAAAUCAGAUUAGAAUACCCGGAAUCUGGAAGGACCCCAUGUAAUGCAAUCAUGGAUUUUGGUUGAAGAUUAGUGUUCUUGGCUUUGAUCUUUCCGAAGUGAUUGUUCAUGCAGCACAUUGAGUUCGUGUAAGUUUCUGAUGCUCUUUGUUAAUAGGAACAGUUUGUUGUUGUAUAAGGACUUGGCUUUAUUAUUACGACAUGUCGUUUUUAGUUAGUGGGUUGCGGGAAAAUGGGGGCUUGUUAAUGGCGAGUGGUAAGGAUUUAGGCAGGUGGAAGUCAGAGAGUGAAUGUUGGAUUCUAUGGCAAUUUCUCAUACAUUCUUUUUCUUGACUGUUGAUUUGUUUUGUUCUAAAUAAAGAAACACAACUUUCUGGCCUAAAUUGUAGCUGUGCUUAUAAUGGACUUUGUCAAUUAAAUCUCACUCUUAAACUCUUCUCUUAUCUCUAUUUAGUGAACAGGUUAAAGAAUGUUUAGUAUUGAUUUCUCAUGAAUUUUGUCUAAUUUCUAGGGGAGAACGAAAAUCAUUAAGCUAAAUGGGGAAUUACUGUUAAUGUGCCUAUACAAAAUCAUCAGGCCUUUCAAUAAUUAUCGUUUCUUUCCAGCAUUUGAUGAUAAAAUGUGAGGAUGGCUGUUGCUUGCAUUGUAAUGGUUUUGGCUUCAUGUUAUUUCCAAAAACACUGAUUCUUUAUUGGUUAUAUUGGAAAGCUCUUGAAAUUGAUUUGGAGGCAAUAAUUUCAACAUCCUAAUUGAUAAUUAGGCUGUGAAAAUUGAAAGCAUUGACCUAUGUAAUGUCCCUGAAGAGGGUAUGUUUGGCCAGUUUCUGCCUGUGGAUUAGUAUCACAUGAUAUAAUUUUUUUGUUGGUAAAUUGGUAUCUAUGUUAAUGACCUAAAAACAUUGCGUCCCAAAAAUUAAUCUCUUCUGAGUUAAAAAUCAACAGUUUUAACCUGGUUAGAAGAGCUUUAUUGAUUUUCUGAUGGACUCUGGUGAUGUUGAGCAAUCCUUGCUUCCUAAGCUGUCCGAUUCUGAUAAGAGGAAUUCUCUCCAGAGAAGAAAAUCUAAUCGUCAUGGUAGUUUUUCACAUUCAGUAGAAAAUAAUAAUCAACCACACAAUUAUGAUGUAGUGUCUCAUCAACGUAUUGCUGUUUCACAAGUUAGUUUUAGGAAAGUAUUUGUUCUUCUGGCGAUUUAUUUGGGAGGAGGCACAUUUUGUUUUUUCCUUGUUCGUGAUCAGAUCACUGGCAAGAAAACAAAUGGGAUUGUUGAUGCCAUUUACUUUUGUGUUGUCACAAUGACCACCGUUGGGUAUGGUGAUCUUGUUCCUAACAGCAUAGUUGCAAAACUACUUGCAUGUGUUUAUGUCUUCACUGGAAUGACCCUUGGUGGGAUGAUUCUUAGCAAGGCAGCCGAUUACAUUGUGGAAAAGCAAGAAAUUCUUCUGGUUAAGGCCAUGUACAUGGGGAAAAAGAUCAGCUCCAGUGAGAUUCUUCAGGAAUCUGAGGCUAACAAAUUGAAACACAAAUUCAUUAUGACUGGAAUCCUCCUCUGGGGUCUUGUUGUUGUUGGAACUCUUAUCUUGACUGUGGUUGAGAAGCUAGAGUUCAUGGAUGCCUUUUAUUGUGUUUGCUCCACAAUCACGACUCUCGGCUAUGGGGAUGAGAGCUUCUCUACAACAGCCGGUCGGGUUUUUGCUGUCAUUUGGAUAAUGAGCAGUACCAUCUGCUUAGCACAGUUCUUUCUGUACCUUGCAGAAUUACACACAGAAAGGAGACAGGAAUCACUGGUAAAUUGGGUUCUCAGCCGAAGCCUCACGUACAAGGAUCUUGAAGAAGCAGAUCUUGAUCACGAUAAAGUAGUAAGUGCUGCAGAAUUUGUUUUAUAUAAACUGAAGGAAAUGGGGAAGAUCAAUCAGGAAGAUGUUUCUCCCAUACUUGACACUUUUAAGAAGCUUGACAUUGAUCAAUCAGGAAGUUUAACAGAAGCUGAUAUAGUGACCUCAUAGUCAUUGGCUUGAUAACGCCUAACUCUUAUCAGACCAUAAUUCUUGUAGAGCAUUGGAGGAGGUGAUGAUGAUCCUUGCUGCUUAUUUUGUCCACUCACUAGAGUAGAUUGAAGCUGAUUGUUGUUGAUCCAGAUUAGUAUAUGAUAACACCACCAUUUCUUAUAUUGUUAUUGACUAUUUGACAACGCUUCAUCAAAUUUGAUACAAUCUAACAUGUUUAGAGUGGUUUUCGCCAUAUUCAGGCCGUGCGACAUAAUCUAGAAUCCCUUCACCAGCUUUCACACCAUGAAUUUCGGUUCCGACUUGGAAACCACCUCCAAAGGCGAUCAUUGCCACCAGAAGUACGGCUGUGGAGGCAAAGAGAGGCCAAAAGAAAGCUAGAAUACUUAGAAACCGAGGGGCUGCAUACACAAACAAUGACAGAACAACUGAAACUGCUGCUACAACAGUUAUUUGGUCUUUGUGUUGGAGAACCUUUGUUUGAAUGUCCAUGGAGAAGGAGAAGGAGAAGGAGAAAUAGGGAAAGAGAAACUUUCUAUGAGUGAUGAUGAUUUCUAUGAGUCUCUCCUUUUCUGGUAAGAUGGUAUUUAUAAGUGAAAAACAUUGUAUUGCUGAUGAAUUUCAAAAGAUCUCAAACUUUGCUUGAUUCAUCAGCUUCUUAUUUUUUGCAAGAUGCAAUUGUUUUGCAUAUAAUAUAGUUAUUGCGAAAAUACUGAAAUACCCUUAUACAGUUAGUAGAAAUUUUGGUGGGGGAGUUGAAGGAGAAGGGGGGAACGAGUCAUUUAAGACAGGAAACAAAUGGAAACUUGGGGACAAGGAUGCUUGAUUAGAUUGUUGUCCCUUUGCUUGAUUGGUCGGUUACUUUGUCCCUUUACAUUUGAUCACUUUCAUGUGUGUUAUGGAUUUCAGGGUAUUAUUGAGGAAAAGAAUGGCAUCUUUUCUUUUUCUUUUUCUAAUCUUUUUCUCAAUCAAAGAACAAUUUUUGAGAAUAAUAAACAAUCUGAUUAUUCUGCUUUUGAAUUGAAA